UACGUAGGGGGCAAGCGUUGUCCGGAAUUAUUGGGCGUAAAGGGCUCGUAGGCGGUCUGUCGCGUCGGGAGUGAAAACUCAGGGCUUAACCCUGAGCCUGCUUCCGAUACGGGCAGACUAGAGGUAUGCAGGGGAGAACGGAAUUCCUGGUGUAGCGGUGGAAUGCGCAGAUAUCAGGAGGAACACCGGUGGCGAAGGCGGUUCUCUGGGCGUUACCUGACGCUGAGGAGCGAAAGUGUGGGGAGCGAACAGG
rnacentral:rRNA from 1 species